rnacentral:rRNA from 1 species
CCCUUAGAUGUUCUGGGCCGCACGCGCGCUACAAUGAUGAAUUCAACGAGUUUAUAACCUUGGUUGAAAAGCCUGGGUAAUCUUUUGAACUUUCGUCGUGAUGGGGCUAGACCCUUGCAAUUAUUGGUCUCCAACGAGGAAUUCCUAGUAAACGCAAGUCAUCAGCUUGCAUUGAUUACGUCCCUGCCCUUUGUACACACCGCCCGUCGCACCUACCGAUUGAAUGGUCCGGUGAAAUCUUCGGACCGCGACUUUGAUUUGUUUACUCAAAACGCUGUUACGGGAAGUUGAUUAAACCUUACCAUUUAGAGGAAGGUGAAGUCGUAACA